UACAGAGGGUGCAAACGUUGUUCGGAAUUACUGGGCGUAAAGCGCGUGUAGGCGGCUAAGUAAGUCGGGCGUGAAAUCCCACGGCUCAACCGUGGAAGUGCACUCGAAACUGCAUAGCUAGAGUCCUGGAGAGGAAGGUGGAAUGCUUGGUGUAGAGGUGAAAUGCGUAGAUAUCGUCAGGAACGCCGGUGGUGAAGACGGGUGACUGGGCUAGUUCUGACACUGAGGCACGAAAGCGUGGGGAGCGAACGGG
rnacentral:rRNA from 1 species